GGAGUUUUAUUCGGUAGUUAAAAAGGGAACAGUAUAGAGUCCACAUGAACGGGAAAACACGAAUUAAACUAACGAAUGAAGAAUAAGUCUCUGUAAAUUCAAGACAGAGAGAUCUGUCACACGGCUCCCCCUUUGUGGGAUACUCCGGCAGACCUGGUUUGAUCCUUCAAUGGUUCAACGUGGGGAUGUCCGGACUGAGAAGCUGGAGUAGGG